CAUCGGUUUCGCAUACAGUAAAC
rnacentral:snRNA from 1 species